rnacentral:rRNA from 1 species
GAUGAACGCUGGCGGCGUGCCUAAUACAUGCAAGUCGAGCGAACAGAUAAGGAGCUUGCUCCUUUGACGUUAGCGGCGGACGGGUGAGUAACACGUGGGUAACCUACCUAUAAGACUGGAAUAACUCCGGGAAACCGGGGCUAAUGCCGGAUAACAUUUAGAACCGCAUGGUUCUAAAGUGAAAGAUGGUUUUGCUAUCACUUAUAGAUGGACCCGCGCCGUAUUAGCUAGUUGGUAAGGUACCGGCUUACCAAGGCAACGAUACGUAGCCGACCUGAGAGGGUGAUCGGCCACACUGGAACUGAGACACGGUCCAGACUCCUACGGGAGGCAGCAGUAGGGAAUCUUCCGCAAUGGGCGAAAGCCUGACGGAGCAACGCCGCGUGAGUGAUGAAGGUCUUCGGAUCGUAAAACUCUGUUAUUAGGGAAGAACAAAUGUGUAAGUAACUGUGCACGUCUUGACGGUACCUAAUCAGAAAGCCACGGCUAACUACGUG